UACGGAGGGUGCAAGCGUUAAUCGGAAUUACUGGGCGUAAAGCGUGCGCAGGCGGUUUGUUAAGUCCGCUGUGAAAUCCCCGAGCUCAACUUGGGAAUUGCAGUGGAUACUGGCAAGCUGGAGUAUGGUAGAGGAAGGUGGAAUUCCCGGUGUAGCAGUGAAAUGCGUAGAGAUCGGGAGGAACACCAGUGGCGAAGGCGGCCGUCUGGACCAAUACUGACGCUCAUGCACGAAAGCGUGGGGAGCAAACAGG
rnacentral:rRNA from 1 species